rnacentral:lncRNA from 1 species
CAACCAUCUAAACAAGGUGUCUGUUACUGGUUAAUACUAGAAUUUUGGAAAACUAAGCGGCGUUUCUACUUUCUCCCAAUCCAAAAAAAAUUUACCAAACCCAAUUCUUCACCUCACAUAAGACCAAAAUAUAGAAUAAAACCUUUUCUCACCUAACGAGCAAAACGAAAGAACAGUUGAAUCAGAAAAAGCAAAUUGAGAUAGAAAGAUCUCGUUUUUAUCAAAUUCCAAUUCCGUUCAAUUCAAUUCAAUUAGCAGGGGCAAUGUCAGGUGUAUCACUGAAGUGUGGUGAUUGUGGAACUCUCUUCAAAUCUGUAGAAGAAGCACAAGAACACGCCGAAGUUACUUCUCAUGCUAACUUCAGUGAGUCCACCGAAGCUGUUCUUAAUCUCGUCUGCACCGCUUGUGGCAAGCCUUGCCGCUCCAAAACGGUAACUUUUAUGCCCUUUUAUAUCCCCUUUUAUUGAUUAUCUGUGGAGAAGGAUCCAUGAUUUUAAGUCAUUAGAUAUGGAAUACAGAACCCAACUUCAGUGAGUCCACUCAAGCUGUUCUUAAUCUCGUCUGCACCGCUUGUGGCAAGCCUUGCCGCUCCAAAACGGUAACUUUUAUGCCCUUUUAUAUCCCCUUUUAUUGAUUAUCUGUGGAGAAGGAUCCAUGAUUUUAAGUCAUUAGAUAUGGAAUACAGAAUAGGCUUUUU